rnacentral:rRNA from 1 species
GGCGAACGCUGGCGGCGUGCUUAACACAUGCAAGUCGAACGGAAAGGCCCUGCUUUUGUGGGGUGCUCGAGUGGCGAACGGGUGAGUAACACGUGAGUAACCUGCCCUUGACUUUGGGAUAACUUCAGGAAACUGGGGCUAAUACCGGAUAGGAGCUCCUGCUGCAUGGUGGGGGUUGGAAAGUUUCGGCGGUUGGGGAUGGACUCGCGGCUUAUCAGCUUGUUGGUGGGGUAGUGGCUUACCAAGGCUUUGACGGGUAGCCGGCCUGAGAGAGUGACCGGCCACAUUGGGACUGAGAUACGGCCCAGACUCCUACGGGAGGCAGCAGUGGGGAAUAUUGCACAAUGGGCGGAAGCCUGAUGCAGCAACGCCGCGUGCGGGAUGACGGCCUUCGGGUUGUAAACCGCUUUCGCCUGUGACGAAGCGUGAGUGACGGUAAUGGGUAAAGAAGCACCGGCUAACUACGUG